rnacentral:rRNA from 1 species
GAUGAACGCUGGCGGCGUGCCUAAUACAUGCAAGUCGAGCGAACAGACGAGGAGCUUGCUCCUCUGAAGUUAGCGGCGGACGGGUGAGUAACACGUGGAUAACCUACCUAUAAGACUGGGAUAACUUCGGGAGACCGGAGCUAAUACCGGAUAAUAUAUUGAACCGCAUGGUUCAAUAGUGAAAGACGGUUUUGCUGUCACUUAUAGAUGGAUCCGCGCCGCAUUAGCUAGUUGGUAAGGUAACGGCUUACCAAGGCAACGAUGCGUAGCCGACCUGAGAGGGUGAUCGGCCACACUGGAACUGAGACACGGUCCAGACUCCUACGGGAGGCAGCAGUAGGGAAUCUUCCGCAAUGGGCGAAAGCCUGACGGAGCAACGCCGCGUGAGUGAUGAAGGUCUUCGGAUCGUAAAACUCUGUUAUUAGGGAAGAACAAAUGUGUAAGUAACUAUGCACGUCUUGACGGUACCUAAUCAGAAAGCCACGGCUAACUACGUG